rnacentral:rRNA from 1 species
GUAGGGGCCAAACGUUUGUCCGGAUUUAUUGGGCGUAAAGGGCUCGUAGGCGGUUCAACAAGUCGAUCGUGAAAGCCCGGGGCUCAACCCCGGGAGGCCGGUCGAAACUGUUGUGACUAGGGUCCGGUAGAGGUGAGUGGAAUUCUCGGUGUAGCGGUGGAAUGCGCAGAUAUCGAGAGGAACACCAGUUGCGAAGGCGGCUCACUGGGCCGGUACCGACGCUAAGGAGCGAAAGCAUGGGGAGCAAACAGGAUUAGAUACCCUGGUAGUCCAUGCCGUAAACUGUGAACACUAGGUGUGGCGGAUCUAUUGAUGUCUGCCGUACCGUAGCUAACGCGUUAAGUGUUCCGCCUGGGGAGUACGGCCGCAAGGCUA